CUCUGGAGAGAGGCGCGCGAGGCGUCCGCCGAAGGGAUAGCGAUCUCAGGCGAAGGGACAGAG
rnacentral:ncRNA from 1 species